rnacentral:rRNA from 1 species
GUCUACAGCCAUGUCACCCUGAACGUACCUGAUCUCAUCUGAUCUCGGAAGCUAAACAUGGUCGGGCCUGUUUAGUACUUGUAUGGGAGACCACCUCGGAAUACCAGGUGCUGUAGGCG